GACGAACGCUGGCGGCGUGCUUAACACAUGCAAGUCGAACGGAAAGGCCCUGCUUUUGUGGGGUGCUCGAGUGGCGAACGGGUGAGUAACACGUGAGUAACCUGCCCUUGACUUUGGGAUAACUUCAGGAAACUGGGGCUAAUACCGGAUAGGAGCUCCUGCUGCAUGGUGGGGGUUGGAAAGUUUCGGCGGUUGGGGAUGGACUCGCGGCUUAUCAGCUUGUUGGUGGGGUAGUGGCUUACCAAGGCUUUGACGGGUAGCCGGCCUGAGAGGGUGAACGGCCACAUUGGGACUGAGAUACGGCCCAGACUCCAACGGGAGGCAGCAGUGGGGAAUAUUGCACAAUGGGCGGAAGCGUGAUGCAGCAACGCCGCGUGCGGGAUGACGGCCUUCGGGUUGUAAACCGCUUUCGCCUGUGACGAAGCGUGAGUGACGGUAAUGGGUAAAGAAGCACCGGCUAACUACGUG
rnacentral:rRNA from 1 species